CGGUGAAUACGUUCCCGGGCCUUGUACACACCGCCCGUCACACCACGGGAGUGGGUAACACCCGAAGCCGGUGGUCUAACCCUUUUGGGAGGAAGCCGUCGAAGGUGGGACCCGUGACUGGGGUG
rnacentral:rRNA from 1 species